UUAAAUCUUCUCAAGUUUUCUCUCUUGAAUCUUUUUGCGGUCUGGGCUUGCUGUUCCUUUGUCUGACAAUCAGGAAGCCCUUACCCCAAAAAGUAUUUGCGUGGGAUACAGUCUGCGAAGGGGGCA
rnacentral:pre_miRNA from 17 species